rnacentral:snoRNA from 1 species
AAGCACAUGAUGAGUUUUAUCGGAUUCCCCUUCAAGACUUCAUGGGUGAUGUAAACUCCGACUAUCUGAUGCG